AUGGAAAUAUCUCCUGAGAAUACAAGUCACUGGUCCACUUCUGACCCUCUGUGGAGAAGCUCUAGAACAGUGUUGACCAAUAGAACUUCUGCUCUGACGGACACAUGCUGUAUCUGUGUUGUUCAAUACACAGGCACUAGCCACACGUGCGUAUUAAACACUUGGAAUGUAGCUCCUGUGACCGAGGAACUGAAUUUUUAAUUUUAUUUAAUUUUAAAUCAUUUCAAUUUAAAUACCUACAUAUGACUAUUGGCUGCUGUAUGGACAGCACAACUUUAGAGAUUGCUGAACUAACAUUCAAGUGUAAGGCAACAUUAAGACUGAUACGGGGCGAAUUGUGUCUCUCCCUGUUUAUGUUUUGAAGUCCUAACCCCCAGGACCUCAGAAUGCGACUGUAUUUGAAUAUAGGACCUUUGAAAGUAAAAUGAGGUCAUCUGAAUGGGCCCUAAUCCAACGUGACUGGUGUCCCUACAAGAAGAGGACAUUAGGACAUAGGCACACAGAGGGGAAGACCAUAUGGAAACACGUGGAGAAGAUGGCCAUCCACGAGACACGGAGAGAGGCCUCAGAAGAAACCAACCCUGCUGACAUCGUGCUCUUGGACUUCUAGCCUCCAGAGUUGUGAGAAAAUAAAUUUCUGUUGUUUAAACCA
rnacentral:lncRNA from 1 species